CAGCCGCCGCGGUAAUACAGAGGGUGCGAGCGUUAAUCGGAAUUACUGGGCGUAAAGCGCACGCAGGCGGUCUGUCAAGUCAGAUGUGAAAUCCCCGGGCUUAACCUGGGAACUGCAUUUGAAACUGGCAGGCUAGAGUCUUGUAGAGGGGGGUAGAAUUCCAGGUGUAGCGGUGAAAUGCGUAGAGAUCUGGAGGAAUACCGGUGGCGAAGGCGGCCCCCUGGACAAAGACUGACGCUCAGGUGCGAAAGCGUGGGGAGCAAACAGGAUUAGAUACCCCAGUAGUCCCUGUCUCUUAUAC
rnacentral:rRNA from 1 species